GCCUGGGUGGCUCGGUGGGCUGAGCCUCUGACUUCAGCUCAGGUCACGAUCUCACAGUUUGUGGGUUCAAGCCCCGCGUCGGGCU
rnacentral:tRNA from 1 species